rnacentral:rRNA from 1 species
UACGAAGGGGGCUAGCGUUGUUCGGAUUGACUGGGCGUAAAGGGCGCGUAGGCGGGAAAUUAAGUUAGACGUGAAAGGCCUGAGCUUAACUUGGGUUAUGCGUUUGAUACUGGUUUUCUUGAGUACAGGAGAGGUAAGUGGAAUUUCUAGUGUAGAGGUGAAAUUCGUAGAUAUUAGGAAGAACACCUGUGGCGAAGGCGACUUACUGGACUGAUACUGACGCUGAGGCGCGAAAGCGUGGGGAGCAAACAGG